CGGUGUUUCAAGUGCCGGUCUGAAUUCCAAAGGUUCACUAACACCUUCGGCCCUGGGGGGGCAGUGAUGGGCAGCAGAACAGAAGUGGGCUGCUGGCAACUGGCUUCCUGCAGGCGGAUGUAACCAGCCACAAUGAGAGAUCAGCUGUUCAGACUGGCAGGUGGAUAAAGUAAGGCACAGAGAAGCAGAAAUAAAAUUAGAAGGAAAGAUUUCACCCCAAGCAACUGGGUCUUAAAUAGAAAAUUAUGUGUUUUCACGUUAUGAUUUAACAUCCCUUCAUAUCAGCAUUCUUCACUUUUUUGCACCAUGAAGCCAUUUGUUAGUCUUUUGAAGCCUGCAAGCUCCUCUUAGAAUAAUG